UUAUAUUUUUUAUUAUUAAAAAAUUGGCAUUGUUGUAUGCAUAUGGGAAAGACAAAAAAAAAUUUAAACAAAAUGUUAUGAUAUGGUAAUCACGUCGCAACUUUAAAAGAAAAAAAAAAACAAGUCAGGCGAGUACAAGUUAGCACAUGAGAAAGACAAAAAAAAAAAUUUUAACAAAAUGUUGUGACGUGGUAAUCACAUCGCAACUUUAAGUAACAGAAGUCAGGCGUGCACAGAUGGGGGAGAUUUAAAAUUUUCAAAAUUUAAGUUGUGACGUGAAAAU
rnacentral:lncRNA from 1 species